rnacentral:rRNA from 1 species
GAUGAACGCUGGCGGCGUGCCUAAUACAUGCAGGUCGAGCGAACAGAUAAGGAGCUUGCUCCUUUGAAGUUAGCGGCGGACGGGUGAGUAACACGUGGGUAACCUACCUAUAAGACUGGGAUAACUUCGGGAAACCGGAGCUAGUACCGGAUAACAUUUAGAACCGCAUGGUUCUAAAGUGAAAGAUGGUUUUGCUAUCACUUAUAGAUGGACCCGCGCCGUAUUAGCUAGUUGGUAAGGUAACGGCUUACCAAGGCGACGAUACGUAGCCGACCUGAGAGGGUGAUCGGCCACACUGGAACUGAGACACGGUCCAGACUCCUACGGGAGGCAGCAGUAGGGAAUCUUCCGCAAUGGGCGAAAGCCUGACGGAGCAACGCCGCGUGAGUGAUGAAGGGUUUCGGCUCGUAAAACUCUGUUAUUAGGGAAGAACAAAUGUGUAAGUAACUGUGCACAUCUUGACGGUACCUAAUCAGAAAGCCACGGCUAACUACGUG